rnacentral:rRNA from 1 species
GAAUCUUUAGUAAAUUGGGUCUAAAGAUAAGGGAUUGGAGCAAAUUGAGUGUACUUUCCUAUAAGUGUUGUCCAAAUACUGGUGCCAGAAGACUCGGUAAGGCCAGAAACGCGAACGUUAGUAGUCUUGAUCAGGCGUAAAGGGUUAGUAGGCAGCUUUGUGAUUGCAAAUCUUUUCAUUGGUUUUCAAUUAACUAUUUAUCUUUUUAUAAGCUAAAUAGGUAAAACCAUCUUAAUCUAUUAAUUAGAUUUAACUAUCUUCAUAAGUGAAAUUAAAGCAUUAAUAGGUUAUUAUAUUUUUAUUAAUUCUGUUUUUAACCGUAUUAUAAAUUUAUAAGAAAUAAAGGUAAUCUGAAACAAAGAUAGAAUCUUGUCGGAGAAGUUACGUUAUAUGCUCGGUGUAGGAAUGAAAUCCGUAAAUAUCUGGUGGACUCCUAAGGGCGAAAGCUAUCCUUCUAGAAAAGAUUGACGCUAAGGAACGUAGGUUGGGACAGAAAAUAGGAUUAGAGACCCUCGUAUUCCCAUCUGUUAACGAUGAAUGGUUAGUCGUUCGGUUUUAAAAAUUAAGUGCCUUUAUAUUAUAUAUAUUUAAAAAAUAAAAAUAUUUGUAAAGAGUUCUGAUUGAUAACUGGGAAACGUAACUAACGUGAUGACCAUUCCGCCUUGUGAGUACAACUACAAAGUUGAAAACAAAAAAAUUAGUCGGUUUCGGAGCAAACGAAGUGAAGCAUG